UCUAUUUUGAACCUGGCUGUUGAGUUGUUAAGAAACAACAACAUCUAUUGUUUCAGAGGAAUAUUUCAGAAUGGUAAUAGGUAAAGGAAAUGGCUGAGUUUUGUAAAAGAUGGAGUUCAUCAGAGUAUUGGUGUAGCCAGUGAACCUGAGAUAAAAAGGCCCAUUGGGGUAGAGAGGAAGGAAGAAUAAACAGAAACACUUGAUAUGUCUACAGAAAAGGGAAACCAUCGUACCCCAUACCAAUUUAAUCAAGUAAGAGAGAAGCAGUAUGAUGUAGCAACUUGAAAACCAGCCCCAGCCUCACAAUCAAGAAAACCUGGUUUCAGUUCCAGUCUUCCACCCUAUUAAUGCUGUAAUAUUGAGCAAAUCACUUCACUUCCCAGGCCCUGAGGGAAUCUUCUAAUUCUGUCCUCCUCACUUCACACUUGGACUAUUACAAAAUUCCUGCCUCAAGUUUCUCCUCAGUCCAGUCUUCAUUUAGCUGCAAAAUUUUAGAGAGAACAUGAGGAGGAACAAUGUUUCUUGUCUAACCUUGCAAGAGAAAAAAAAGGUGGAAGCAGUGAUUGUGUAAAUAAUGAAGAACACAGUGAGAAAUAUAAUAUGUUCACAAGAUGGUGGCUGUUGAAGAAGAGGUGUCCUAUUUCUGACUUUUCACCCCAGAACCUUGCACAGUGUCUUACAUACAAUACAUAAUUAAUAAUUGUUGAA